rnacentral:misc_RNA from 8 species
GUACCCUCAAGCUUUGCUUGGUGUUGGGCGUCUUGUCUCUAGCUUUGCUGGAGACUCGCCUUAAAGUAAUUGGCAGCCGGCCUACUGGUUUCGGAGCGCAGCACAAGUCGCACUCUCUAUCAGCAAAGGUCUAGCAUCCAUUAAGCCUUUUUUCAAC